AAAAAAGACAGCACCUCAUUGACUUGUUUGUAUUCUUUGUAUUUUUCAAAUAGCAUCUGAACCUAUUUAUUUGAAAAACUUAAAAAGGCGGUCACAAUUUUUUGAACAAGGUAAACCAAAGUGCUAACAUUUCAUGUACUUCCAUGAAAUUGUUCCUGCUGCACACUCUUUCUAACAAGUCUGGUGCUGGGUACUAUACCUCUUCAGAGUUGUUUGUUGCAGUUACAAGGAAGCAACAUAAUUAAUUUCCCUUCUUUCCCCAGGGUCAUCAGGUUAUUCUUACAAUUCAUGGGUCUACCUUUGUGGAGGCCCUGAGCCUGCAAUGCCUGAUCUCCCAGUUCCAUCCAUUAGUGCUCCUAGUCGUCGGGUUUGGGAUCAAGAGGAAGAACGAAAACGACAGGAAAAAUGGCAAAAGGAGCAGGAUCGUCUAUUGCAGG